AGAUUUUGUUCUCCAACAGGGGCUCGUUUCCUGAUAGGACAGGUGAGGCUGGGCCAGAAGACUUCUGUAAAGAGCUGCUCAGCUUUUUUGAAAAAGGAGGGCAGAGCUUGAUGCUGGAAAGGAGAGCUCCUGAAAUGCAGAGCCAAGUUCCCUGAGAAAUACUCCCAUUCAUCUCAGAGCAAAGUUUGAGGACACUGCUGAAGAGCCCAGACCUGCACACAGCUGCAUUUCAGCAGCUGAAGUGCCAGCAGUAUCCCAAUAUCCUGCCUUCAUACUGAGAAAUGUUCUGGAACGUGUGAUUUGUACACCAUGA
rnacentral:lncRNA from 1 species